UACGGAGGGAGCUAGCGUUGUUCGGAAUUACUGGGCGUAAAGCGCGCGUAGGCGGCUCAUCAAGUCAGGGGUGGAAGCCCGGGGCUCAACCCUGGAACUGCCUUUGAAACUAGUGAGCUAGAAUCUUGGAGAGGCGAGUGGAAUUCCGAGUGUAGAGGUGAAAUUCGUAGAUAUUCGGAAGAACACCAGUGGCGAAGGCGACUCGCUGGACAAGUAUUGACGCUGAGGUGCGAAAGCGUGGGGAGCAAACAGG
rnacentral:rRNA from 1 species